AUGACUGAUGAAGAGGAUGAUGAUGAUGCUGAUGAUUGCGGUUGUGACAGUGGUGAUGAUGAUGAUCGUGGUGGUGGUGACGAUGAUGAUGAUCAUGAUGAUGAUGGCGGUGGUGAUGAUGAUGAUUGUGGUGGUGGUGACGAUGAUGAUGAUGAUGAUGAUGAUUGCGGUUGUGACAGUGGUGAUGAUGAUGAUUGUGGUGGUGGUGAUGAUGAUGAUGAUGAUGAUGAUGAUGGCGGUGGUGAUGGUGAUGAUGAUGAUUGUGGUGGUGGUGACGAUGAUGAUGAUGAUGAUGAUUGCGGUUGUGACAGUGGUGAUGAUGAUGAUUGUGGUGGUGGUGACGAUGAUGAUGAUCAUGAUGAUGAUGAUGAUGAUGAUGAUGAUGAUGGCGGUGGUGAUGGUGAUGAUGAUGGUGGUGGUGGUGGUGGUGGUGAAGAUGAAGAUGGAGGUGGUGGUGGUGAAGAUGAUGAUGAUGGUGAGGGUGAUGAUGAUGAUGAUGAUGGUGGUGGUGGUGAUGGUGAAGAUGGUGGUGGUGGUGAUGAUGAUGACGAUGGUGGUGGUGAUAGUGGUGAAGAUGAUGAUGAUGAUGAUGAUGGUGGUGGUGGUAGUGGUAGUGGUGAAGAUGAUUAUGUUGGUUGUGGUGGUGGUGAUGAUGAUGGUGGUGGUGGUGGUGGUGAUGGUGAUGAUGAUGAUGGUGGUGGUGAAAAUGAAGAUGGAGGUGGUGGUGGUGAAGAUGAUGAUGAUGGUGAGGGUGAUGAUAAUGAUGAUGGGGAUGGUGGUGGGGGUGGUGAUGAUGAUGAUGGUGGUGGUGGUGGUGAUGGUGAAGAUGGUGGUGGUGGUGAUGAUGAUGAUGGUGGUGGUGAUAGUGGUGAAGAUGAAGAUGAUGGUGGUGGUGGUGGUGGUGAAGAUGAUUAUAGUGGUAGUGGUGGUGAAGAUGAUGAUGGUGGUGGUGAUGAUGAUGAUGAUGAUGAUGAUGACGGCAUUGGUGGUGAUGAUGAUGAAGAUGAUGAUGAUGAUGGUGGUAGUGGUGGUGAUGAUAGUGGUGAAGAUGGUGAUGGUGGUGAAGAUGAUGAUGAUGAUGUGGUGGUGGUGAUGAUGAUGAUGGCAGUGAUAGUGAUUAUAAUGGUGAUGGUGAUGAUGAUAGUGAUGAUGAUGGUGAAGGUGAUGAUAAUGAUGGAGGUGAUAGUGAUAAUAAUGGUGACGGUGAUGAUGACGAUGAUAAUGGUGGCGAUGGAUGUGAUGAUGAUGGUGGUGAUGAUGAUGGCGGUGAUGAUGAUGGUGGUGGUGAUGAUGAUGAUGAUACUGAUGAUGAUGAUGAUGAUGAUGAUGAUUGUGAUGGUGAUAGUUAUAACAAUGGUGAUGACGGCGAUGAAGAUGAUGGUGGUGAUGGUGGUGGUGAUGAUGAUAGUGAUGAUGAUGAUGAUGAUGAUGAUGAUAAUGGUGGUGGUGAUGAUGAUGAUGAUGAUGAUGAUGGCUAUGAUAGUGAUGAGGAUGGCGGUGGUGGUGAUAAUUAUGGUGAUUGUGAUGACGAUUGUGAUGGUGGUGGUGUUGAUGGUGAUAGUUAUGACGAUGGCGAUGGUGGUGAUGAUGACGAUGGUGGUGAUGGUGACGAUGAUGAUGAUGAUGAUGAUGGCGGUGAUGAUGGUGGUGGUUGUGGUGUUUAUGAUGAUGAUGAUGAAGAUGGUGGUGGUGGUGGUGGUGAUGGUGCUAAUGAUGAUGGUGGUGGUGAAAGUGGUGGUGGUGUUGACGAUGAUGGUGGUGGUCAUAAUGGUGAAGAUGAUGGUGGUGGUGGUGGUGAUGAUGUUGAUGAUGAUGGUGGUUUUGGUGGUGAUGACGAUGGUGGUGAUGGUGACGAUGAUGAUGAUGAUGGCGGUGAUGAUGGUGGUGGUUGUGGUGUUUAUGAUGAUGAUGAUGAUGAAGAUGGUGGUGGUGGUGGUGAUGGUGCUAAUGAUGAUGGUGGUGGUGAUGAUGAUGGUGGUGGUGACGUUGGUGAUGGUGAUGAUGAUGAUGAUGAUGGUGGUGGUCAUAAUGGUGAAGAUGAUGGUGGUGGUGGUGGUGGUGAUGAUGAUGAUGUUGAUGAUGAUGGUGGUUUUGGUGGUGAUGAUGAUGAUAAGGAUGAUGAUGAUGGUGAUGGUGGUUAUAACAGUAGUGGUGAUGAUGAUGGUGACAGUGGUGGUGGUGGUGAUGAUGAUGAUGGUGAUGGUGAUGGUGAUGAUGGUGAUGAUGAUGGUGACAGUGGUGGUGGUGGUGGUGGUGAUGAUGAUGAUGAUGAUGGUGAUGAUGAUGGUGACAGUGGUGGUGGUGGUGGUGGUGGUGAUGAUGAUGAUGAUGAUGAUGAUGAUGAUAAGGAUGAUGGUGAUGGUGGUGGUGACAGUAGUGGUGAUGAUGAUGGUGACAGUGAUGAUGAUGAUGAUGAUGAUGGUGGUUACAUGA
ensembl:lncRNA